rnacentral:rRNA from 1 species
CCUACGGGUGGCAGCAGUGAGGAAUAUUGGUCAAUGGACGAGAGUCUGAACCAGCCAAGUAGCGUGAAGGAUGACUGCCCUAUGGGUUGUAAACUUCUUUUAUAAAGGAAUAAAACGAGGCACGUGUGCCCUUUUGCAUGUACUUUAUGAAUAAGGAUCGGCUAACUCCGUGCCAGCAGCCGCGGUAAUACGGAGGAUCCGAGCGUUAUCCGGAUUUAUUGGGUUUAAAGGGAGCGUAGAUGGGUUGUUAAGUCAGUUGUGAAAGUUUGCGGCUCAACCGUAAAAUUGCAAUUGAUACUGGCAGUCGUGAGUACAGUUGAGGUAGGCGGAAUGCGUGGUGUAGCGGUGAAAUGCUUAGAUAUCACGAAGAACUCCGAUUGCGAAGGCAGUUCACUGGACUGCAACUGACACUGAGGCUCGAAAGUGUGGGUAUCAAACAGGAUUAGAUACCCUAGUAGUC